rnacentral:lncRNA from 1 species
GCCCUUCUGACAUAAUGAGAUUUCCUUCAGUAACAGCCAUUCUUGUUUGUGUAGAAGUCAGCUUUCUCACGAACAAAUCCAAGAGUGUGGAAUACACUCCUAAAGAAAUUAAGGAGGGUUACAAACUUCACCACCCUCUACAGCUAGUGUAAGAUGUAUGUCUUUGACCUUGCCUUUUCUAACAUGAACAUAGAGCAGUGUGUGUGUGUGUGUGUGUGUGUGUGUGUGUGUGUGCAAAUAAGAACAAUCUAAAACAUACAUUUGACUACGUACACAUUUCCCCAGGGGGAGAGGAGAAAAUGGACCCAUGACAGAAGGUAGGGCCAUUAACACCUGUUGAAUGAGGAGUUUAGAAGCAAGGAGGUAGACUAUAACAACCGCUAUAGUCAUUGACUUCUUCACUGGUGCCUGAAUACAAAUGCUUCUGCUACUGCCAGGAAGUUGGUUUUAAACUUUGAGUAGACCAGGAAUCCAAGGGGGUGAAACUACACAACUGCUCUUGGAUUUGCUCCUGUAAAUGCCAUUAUGCCUUUACACUCCAUCUCUGUUCUGGUGAGAGAGGCUACAAACUUUUGAAUGCUAAUAUUUCUGCUGCCAAAGGCUAAAGGUCAUCCAGAUGCCAAGAAGACCAGUGAUGAUUAGUCACUCUAAUCGUCAGGAAUGAAAGACGAGCACAACAUCCAGUCAGGCAACUAGCAGAGUGGUUCAGCAAUUGAAUGGUACCCAUCCACCAAGAAUUCUGACCAGAAUGGAUCCAUCAGCUUUCAAGGCCUGGCCAGCACAUACCCCAAAGACAACACAGAAUGAGCCAAGCUUCAGGGAUGGUUCAACUGUGUGUGGAGUGCACACUUCAAACUGCAGGGAUGCGUCAAGUGCUCUUGGAACACUAAGAGAAAACCGAAUGGGAGCUGAUGAAUUUAAUGAAAAUCUCUUUCAGUCAAGAAAGAUCUGGAAUUUGAAUCAUUCAACUGUUGUCAAUUUCAGUGAUCACAACAUUGUAUUAAAUAUCUAAUUUUAGACUCCUCCUAAUGCCAUUAUCAAAUAUAUUUCCCUUCUGUGAAGCAGGUGAUGCUUGGGUUUAGACAAAGUUUAUAGAUGAUACUCCACAGCUGCUUGGGUUGGAUGAGCUCAUUCCUAUAAUCUAACACCUGACAGAAAUAUCAGCCUGAAAUUUUGGAUCACUUAAUUAAUGCCAAAGUUCCAGCUCGUAAGGCACUGAAAAUGAAGCAAUUGAUUCAGUAAACUUACUCCAUUUUCUCUGUAUUCUGUUGGCUGUUCUAGAUUUGGCUGCUAUUUAUCCUUUUCAUCAGCAAAUACUUCUGCCACUGAGGUACUUUUUCAUAGUUGGAUACAUCUAGCUACA